UUUGAGAUCUUUGAUUUCAACAGCCUGGAGCAGUUGUGCAUCAACUUCACCAAUGAAAAACUGCAACAGUUCUUCAACCACCACAUGUUUGUGCUGGAGCAGGAGGAGUACAAAAAGGAGGGAAUUGAGUGGGAGUUCAUUGACUUUGGGAUGGACCUGGCUGCCUGCAUUGAGCUCAUUGAGAAGCCCAUGGGCAUCUUCUCCAUCC